GCGGCUUAAUUUGACUCAACGCGGGACAACUUACCGGGCCCGACGACCGUAAGAGUGUGACACACGAUAGGUCGAAGAGUGGUGCAUGGCCGUUAACGACGAGUGGAGUGAUCUUUGGGUUAAGUCCGUAAAUUAGUGAGACCUCAGCCGUAAGGGACAGGUGCGCAAAGCACAGGAAGGAUGGGUCAAGGACAGGUCAGUGAUGCCCUUAGAUGGUCCGGGCUGCACGCGCACUACAGUGGUCGCCGAAAUUACCUGAUAAUUAUAAAGGCGAUCGAGAGGGAAUGAGCUUUGUAAGAGGCUCAGGAACGAGGAAUUGCUAGUAAUCGCGGACUCAUUAAGACGCGAUGAAUACGUCCCUGUUCUUUGUACACACCGCCCGUCGUUAUCGAAGAUGAAGAUAGGCGCGAACGAUCUACCAGAAAGUGAGCGCAGGUUUUUAGAUCUGAUACAAGUCGUAACAAGGUAGCUGUAGGAGAACCUGUAGCU
rnacentral:rRNA from 1 species